rnacentral:tRNA from 1 species
GCCCGCAAGUGCCAAGACCGGCCUGUCACGCCGGAGGUCGCGGGUUCGAGUCCCGUCGCUCCC